rnacentral:lncRNA from 1 species
CAGCAGCAACAAUAAAAACUGCAGUAGCAGUAUAAACCUCCCCACCACCACCACCCCCACCACCACCAUCAUCAUCAUCAUCAACAACAACAACUGUAGCGGUAACGGCAGCGCUAGCAGCAAUAGCAGUGUCACCAUCACCAUCAACAUUACCAUCAUCACCAUCAUUAUCAGCAGCAGCAGCAGCAGCGUCAUCUUCUCCGCCACCACCACCACCACCAUCGCCGCCAUCAUCAUCACCACCUCCACCAUCAUCAUCAUCAUCAUCAGCAACAGUAACAGAAGCCAGCGGUGGCAGUGACUGCAGCAACUGCAGCAACAACAGCAACAAUAACAACCGCUACAGGAACAAGAAGAACAAGAACAACAACCUCAACAACCACAGCAAGAACAACGACCACAAGAAAAGCAGUAACACUAGCAUCUACAUGGACGUUCCGACUGCUAGAAACAGUAGCUAAGUCUCCUUUCCAAAAAAAAAUCACACCCGACCUUAUCGCCUUCUGUAAGAACAGUUCGCGUUAUAUUAUGUAGUCUUACAUAGACCACAACUGAAACAAAAACAAAAAAAACGUGAUGGACACGGCUGGACUGGCUUUGAUAAUGGGUGUACACAGAUGAGGGUUGACCUGGGGGUGUUAAACAACAGCAGCAACCACGACAGCAGCAACAGCAGCAGCAACGCGUUAAUAUUUCGAGCGCAUCUCACUUUCUCUCGAUCGCUCCUCAUGGGUGUACGUACGAAUUAGUUGUUGUGUGUAUAUAACUAUAUAGACUGCACACACACAAACACACACAUAUAUAUAUAGAUAGAUAUACUCAUACAUAUAUACACACUUGCCCACACACACACACAAACACACAUAUAUAUAUAUAUAGAUAGAUAUACUCAUACAUAUAUACACACUUGCCCACACACACAAACACACACAUAUAUAUAUAUAUAGAUAUACUCAUACAUAUAUACACAUUUGCCCAUACAUACACAUACGUACGUACACAGAUAGCUACAUAAACACUCGAAUACAUACGUACGUAGGCUACAUACAAACAUACAUACAAACACACACAACACACACACACACACACAAACGUCCCCUUUACUCGUGACAUGUCCCCUGCAGUGACGACCGUGUCGGGGACGAAACACGGACCGCGGCCACGGAGCUUUCAUGCUGUAGUUUCCAUAUAUUGUCAGCUUCAGCGAAGAUACCAACCCAGCGAAAGGAAAAGAUAGAUAAAGAGAGAGAGAGAGAGAGAGAGAGAAAAAGCGCGGGAGAGAGAGAAAAGGAGAGGAAUUCUGAGAUAGAGGAGAGAACCCAAAGGCUACCAAGAAACAGGAUUACGUGACAAGGGAACUGUUCGACGUAAGGAAUAUUAAUUCUUGGAUUUUUUUCAACCUAACAAUUCUAUUUCUCUAUCUGCCUGUCUGUCUAUCUAUCUAUCUAUCUAUCUAUCUAUCUAUCUAUCUAUCUAUCUAUCUAUCUAUCUAUCUAUCUAUCUAUCUAUCUAUCUAUCUAUCUAUCUAUCUAUCUAUCUAUCUAUCUAUCUAUCUUUAUACUUACACAUACACACAAGUACAUCAUCGUCGUUUAACGUUCGUUUUCCAUACUGGCAUGGGUUGGACGGUUUCACUGAGGUCUGGAAAGCCAGCGGCUGUACACACACAUAUAUAAUAUAUAAUAUAUAUAUAUAUAUAUAUAUAUACAUAUACAAACACACACCUAUAUACAUAUGUAUUCUACGUAUGUACGUGCGUGUAUAUAUUUAUAUAUGUAUCAAUACACACACCUGCAUACAUAAUAUAUACAGUAUGUAUACAUAUAUAUAUAUAUAUAUGCGUGCAUGAAUGCAUAGCUAUGCAGUGUGCCCAUCCAACACAUGGUAAACUGAGAUCUCCCUCUCUCUUUCUUUCUCUUUCUUCCCUCUCUCUCUCUCUCUCUAUAUAUAUAUAUAUAUAUAUACAUAUAUAAUGGUGUGUGUGUGUGUGUGUAUAUAUAUAUGUCUACGUACCGUAGUGGUGUCCAGGUUUCAGGUUGAUGGAAUUCACACAACACACAUGAAUCUGUAUUACAUUGUCAUGCUUGAGUUGGCUGAUCAGCCAGGCAUGAGUUGAAGGGGGGCCCUAAAUAGCUGGUCGUAGUUGCUGACCCAUACUACGGCCGUUGCCCAUUCUAUGAGACCAGCCAGGGACUGUUUUGUUGGAAGGGAGUGACCUCUGACACAAAAAGGUUAGGGAUUCCAUAUCAUCCGCUCAUAACCGCCACACAAGUACAGGCAAUUACUCAACACACACACACACACACACACACACACACACGAACACACACACACACACACACACACACGAACACACACACACGCACACACACAAACACACACACACACGCGCGCGCACACACACACACGCACACACACACACACACACACACACACGCACACACACUCGCACGCACACACACACGCACACAUAUACUAAUACACAACCAUGAACGUAUCUACAUGCAUGCAUGCACACAUAUGCAUAUGAAUGUGCAUACACUUGCAUUCUAACACAUACACUAACACACACACACACAUACUUUCACACACACUAAUGCACAGCCAUGUAUGCAUCGCUCCCACACACAUGUACACACACGUUUAGACAUGCAUGAGUGGACAUAUACAUGCUCACUAACACUCAUACACACACUCAUACAUACAUGCAUACACACGCAUACACACAUAAGGUACAUACGCAUGCACAUUAAUUAACAACAACUAACAUACACACAUGCAUGAAUAUACAUACGUAUGCACAAUGGUAUGUACACAUGUAUACAUACAUGGACACGCAUAUACAAACUGACACAUGUACAAACGCAUACAUAUAGGAAUGCGUAUUCGCUUGUAUACUAAGGCAUACACACGCAGAUAUGCAUACUACUGCUCAUACACAUACAAAGGAGUAUGCACAAACUAAAACACACACAUAAAUGCAUACAUGAAUAUGCAUACACACAAACAUACACACACACACACGUGUAUGUUUAAACGUGAAUGUAUAUACAUAUGCACAUUAAAACACACAAAAACUAACACACACACACACAUGUAUUUUCAAACAUGAAUGUAUAUACAUACACACAUUAAAACACUCGCACACAACCUAACACACACACAUACACACACACACGUACACACACACAUGUAUGUUUAAACGUAAAUGUAUAUACAUACACACAUUAAAACACACCCACUACACAUAAACACACACACACACACACACACACGUGUAUACUAAAGCACUUACAUAAUCACAUGAAACUAUUUAUCACAUUCAUACACACACCUACACAUAUACACACACACUUAUGCAGACACAUCAAUGCAUACAUACACAGAUUAAACCAUUAAGAUAUACAUACUAACACGCACACACAAUACAUGUACAUUAAUACAAAAACAUGCACACACACUGUUACAAACACACACACAUACACACAGUAAAUCACUAAUACACAAAUAUUAACAUACAGUUCAUAUACAUUAAUGUAAAUAUAUAUAUAUACAUAUAUACACACUAAUACAUGCAUACAAGUGCAUACAUACAUGUUAACACAUGCACACAAAUACACACAUGCACACAAUAUGAAAGGUUAAUAUAAACAUACAUACACACCUUAAUAUACACAUAUGCAUACACAAAUUAUAUACACCCACAAAUAUACGCACAUUGACAUAUGAUGUAUACACACUUAUACAUACACCAUCAAUACUCACAAUAACAUAAUAAUACAGACAAUACAAAUAUAUAUACAUAUAUAUAUAUAUAUAUAUGCAUAAUCUAUCUAUCUACCUGUCUAUCUCUCUGUCUCUCUAUGUAUACACACACACAUAUGCCUACACAUAUCAUCAUCAUCAUCAUCAUCAUUUAACGUCCGCUUUCCAUGCUAGCAUGGGUUGGACGAUUUGACUGGGGUCUGGGAAGCCAGGGGGCUGCACCAGGCUCCAAUCUUGAUCUGGCAGAGUUUCUACAGCUGGAUGCUCUUCCUUAAUGCCAACCACUCCGAGAGUGUAGUGGGUGCUUUAUGUGCCACCGGCACAGGGGGAUCAGUCAGGCGGUACUGGCAAUGACCUCACUCGAAUCUUUUUACACAUGCCACCGGCACAGGUGCCAGUAAGGCGACGCUGGUAACGAUCACGCUCGAAUGGUGCCUCUUACAUGUCACCAGCACGGAGGCCAGUUAACCGCUCUGGCAAUGAUCACGCUCGGAUGGUGCUCUUAGCACACUAAUAGCACGGCGCUCUAAUGCCACAUUGUCUAUCUAUGUAUCUAACAUUCUAUCUAUCUCCCUAUCUGUCUAUCUGUCCAAUCUAUAUCUAUGUUCCAUCAUCAUAUCAUCAUCAUCCUUACUUAUUUUUAAACUUCCACCUCUUUUUUUGGCCUGUUCUUCUCUGUGUUCAAACUACAACCUCAUCACUGUAUUCUGUAUUCUUCCUGCUAGUCCAUACCUUUUACAGGCAGCAUUUAUUACAGUUUUAAAAAAAAAAGUGUCAUCGAAACAAAACUCAAAAAAUAUUAAUUCUGAAAGAAAAUAAUUUCUUUAUAUAUUUUUUUUUCUGCAAAAUGUUUAACCCUUUAGUAUUUAAACCGGCCAUAUCUGGCCAAUAGUAUUCUGCUUGUUUUAUGCUCAAACUGGCCAGAUCUGGUCUCUCUCACCAACCCUACAAUAUCGCUUAAAAAAUUAACAGCUACCUCAUCAAAUUCUCAUAGCUACAAGAUGAUGCAUGAUUAGUUCAAAAUAAAGUGGAGGAAAAAGCAUUAAUUUUGGCAGAAUAAUGCAAAAACUAAAGGGUUAAACUAUGAUGAAAAAGUAAAUUUUAUUAACUAAUUAAAUGUAAAUAUAAAAAUAUGAAUGAGGAAUCUUAAUAAUGUUGGUUUUCUUUCCAAAAAAAUGACCAAUCACAAUUACUUUUACGUGUAUUCUUUUCCAUAAAAAAGCAAUUCCUAUUUUCCAUGAUUCUACCAACACAAGUUCACUAAAUAAUGUCGUUGAAGAAUGAAAACAGAAACCCUUAAUAAUGGUUUCAUAUUUGAUCAGAAGGCCAGUAAUUCUGGGCAAGGGCAUAAGUUGAUUAUGUUGAUCCCAGUGUUCAACUGGUGUUUACUUUAUCGACCCCUGAAAGGGAUAAAAAGCAAAGUCAGUCUUGGUGAAAUUUGAACUCAGAACAUUGGGAUGGAUGAAAUGCACUUUGCCCAGUGCUGUAACAACUCUGCCAGCUCACCACCUUAGAGACCCUUAAUAAUUCUUUCUGCUAUAGGCACAAGGCCUGAAAUUUUUUUGGUGGAGCAGGGGUAAAUUGAUUACAUUGACCCCAGUGUUUAACUGGUACUUAUUUUAUUGACCCUGAAGGGAUGAAAACCAAAGUUGACCCCAGUAGCAUUUGAAUUCAAAACGUGAAGACAGAUGAGAGGGUGCUAAACAUUUCGCCCCAGUGUACCAACGAUUCAGCCAGCUCGCUGCCUAGAAACCCUUAAUAAUGACAUUUAAGCAUUUACUUAUUUCAUUUCCUCAGAAGCGCCAGUUUUAUAUUUGAACAUUUCAGACUUCAUUUUCUUUCAUUCUUAAUCCCACACUUGUUUGUUUGCAAAUCAAAAGAUCACCAUGAAAGAUGAUAUCUUUGGCGCCUUAACUUGCUCUUAAAACCAUUAAUUUUGCUGCACUUAAAAAGCUGGAAAUCACGAUACACAGAUAUUGUUUUGAGCUGAGCGGGGGUGCUAGAUUCCCUUGUUUGAAAAUAUAAGGACAAAGAUCGUGUUGUAUAGCCAGCUGGAGACAAUGCCUCCUGGGGCUAAAUUACAGCAACAUUCGUCCUAAACCAGGACUGCCAUGUUAUGUUGGCCAAUAAUCUUUACUCCAAAGUACUGUUGCUGAAUAUCUCUCAUUGUGAGAUUUACAAAUAGUAAUUUUAACUUAAAAAGCUGAUAUUUUUUUUUCCACCUGAAAUUUACUCUCUGCAUAUCUUUAUAUAUUAAAGAGAGAUUGUGUGCUGUCUGUCUCCUACGAUUUAGAUUCCUAACUACUCCCACAUUUUGCGGUGCAGUUUAACCAAAACCGGGUAUCUUAUAGUCGUGAUUCAUAUCGAGCCCUUCUGGGUAUUAGUGCGCGUCUACGAUGAGUCUACGAUUUAAAAAAAAUUUACCAUCAAUUUUUCCCAUUUUUAAUGCAUUUUUGGCAUAUAUAAGGGAAGUAACUCUCUAAAAAUUUAUUAAAUCUCAGAACGUAAAAAGCUACAGUAACCCCCCCCCCUUUGUGGUUAACCAUAUUGAGAUGGCUAUUAUACUUUACAUCUCUAAAAAUGCUUAUAUAGUUAUUUCCCUUACAAACCCGAGUAACGCCGGGCGAUACUGCUAGUUAUAUACUAAAUACACAUACUUUCAAAACAAUAUCUUCCGUGUAAACAAAUGGAUAUACGACUGCUGCUGUCGUGUUUACAGUGCCAUUUAGAUUAUCAUAAUCCAGUCUGCUUUCUUUAUAGUGGAUAAGUAACUACUUUAGACCAAAGGUACGAGACAUUGAGAUAAGCAUGGCUUUAUAUUAUAGUUCCUACAUAUGUUUCGCCAUUGUGGUUGCUGGGAAAUCUGUAUUUGGAUAUUCAAUAAAGCGUUCCUUGAUGAUCCAUUCUGGUUAAGCAUCCUCAUGCAUUUGGAACAGAUGCAGGCAUGACUGCGUGUUAAGAGACUUGCUUUCCAAUCAUAUGCUUCUGGGUUCCAUCCCACUGUGUGGCACCUUGGGCAAGUGUCUUCUUCUGUAGCCUUGGGCCAACCAAAGCCUUGUGAGUGGAUUUGGUAGACGGAAACUGAAAGAAGCCCAUCAUAUAUGUGUGUGUGUGUCUUUGUAUCUGUGUUUGUCCCCCCCCCCCCACCAUCACUGCUUGACAACCGGUGUUGGUGUGUUUUCGUCCCUGUAACUUAGCAGUUCAGCAAAGGAGACUGAUAUUAUAAGCACCAGGUUUAAAAAAUAAGUGCUGGGGUUGAUUUGUUUGACUAAAACCCAUUGAGGUGAUGCUCCAGUAUGGCUGCUGUCAAAUGAUGACUGAAACAAGUAAACGACUAAAAGAAUAAAUGACCAAGUGCUGAUUUCCCAAGCAACCAUAAUUGCAAAAUGUAGGAACUCAAAUACAAAUCCAUGUUUCUCCUAAUUUCUCCUAAUUUCGAAAUAUUUGAAAACUGGAAAAUUCUUAGUUUUGUGCUAUCAAUUAUAUUGUAUUCCAAAAACAAAAAGCCAACUGACAUUAUGCACACAUCUAAAUGGAACCAAACCAAAUCUGGAUUGGACUGAAAACAGUCAAAAGUUGGAACCAGUGCAAUGCUAUCCCUCUUCUAUGCACUUUUUAAUGAAAUUUUUUCUUAUAAAACUCUUAAAGUCACAAAAUUUAUUAGCAAUCACUCUCGGACUUCAACCAUUUUUACCUCAUAAGUAUUUUUCGAUUUCACUGAUUUUAACUAAUUUC